AUUGAACGCUGGCGGCAUGCUUUACACAUGCAAGUCGAACGGCAGCACGGGGGCAACCCUGGUGGCGAGUGGCGAACGGGUGAGUAAUAUAUCGGAACGUACCCGGAAAUGGGGGAUAACGUAGCGAAAGUUACGCUAAUACCGCAUAUGCCCUAAGGGGGAAAGCGGGGAUUCGCAAGAACCUCGCGUUUUCGGAGCGGCCGAUAUCGGAUUAGCUAGUAGGUGAGGUAAAGGCUCACCUAGGCGACGAUCCGUAGCUGGUCUGAGAGGACGACCAGCCACACUGGAACUGAGACACGGUCCAGACUCCUACGGAGGCAGCAGUGGGAAGUUUUGGACAAUGGGCGCAAGCCUGAUCCAGCCAUGCCGCGUGAGUGAAGAAGGCCUGGUGU
rnacentral:rRNA from 1 species